rnacentral:rRNA from 1 species
GCAUACGGCUCAGUAACGCGUAGUCAACCUAACCUAUGGACGGGAAUAACUUCGGGAAACUGAGAAUAAUGCCCGAUAGAACAUUAUGCCUGGAAUGGUUUAUGUUCCAAAUGAUUUAUCGCCGUAGGAUGGGACUGCGGCCUAUCAGUUUGUUGGUGAGGUAAUGGCCCACCAAGACUAUUACAGGUACGGGCUCUGAGAGGAGUAGCCCGGAGAUGGGUACUGAGACACGGACCCAGGCCCUAUGGGGCGCAGCAGGCGAGAAAACUUUGCAAUGUGCGAAAGCACGACAAGGUUAAUCCGAGUGGUUUCUGCUAAAGAAACCUUUUGUCAGUCCUAGAAACACUGAUGAAUAAGGGGUGGGCAAGUUCUGGUGUCAGCCGCCGCGGUAAAACCAGCACCUCAAGUGGUCAGGAUGAUUAUUGGGCCUAAAGCAUCCGUAGCCGGCUCUGUAAGUUUUCGGUUAAAUCUGUACGCUCAACGUACAGGCUGCCGGGAAUACUGCAGAGCUAGGGAGUGGGAGAGGUAGACGGUACUCGGUAGGAAGGGGUAAAAUCCUUUGAUCUAUUGAUGACCACCUGUGGCGAAGGCGGUCUACCAGAACACGUCCGACGGUGAGGGAUGAAAGCUGGGGGAGCAAACCGGAUUAGAUACCCGGGUAGUCCCAGCUGUAAACUAUGCAAACUCAGUGAUGCAUUGGCUUGUGGCCAAUGCAGUGCUGCAGGGAAGCCGUUAAGUUUGCCGCCUGGGAAGUACGUACGCAAGUAUGAAACUUAAAGGAAUUGGCGGGGGGAGCACCACAAGGGGUGAAGCCUGCGGUUCAAUUGGAGUCAACGCCGGGG